rnacentral:rRNA from 1 species
GACGAACGCUGGCGGCGUGCUUAACACAUGCAAGUCGAACGGAAAGGCCUGCUUUCCCUUGUGGAUUGCGGGUACUCGAGUGGCGAACGGGUGAGUAACACGUGAGUGAUCUGCCCCCAACUUGGGUAUAAGCCUGGGAAACUGGGUCUAAUUCCCGAUAGGACUGCAGGGUGGUGCCUGUGGUGGAAAACGAUUUUCUAGUGGUUGGGGAUGAGCUCGCGGCCUAUCAGCUUGUUGGUGGGGUAAUGGCCUACCAAGGCGGCGACGGGUAGCCGGCCUGAGAGGGUGGACGGCAACAGUGGGACUGAGAUACGGCCCAGACUCCUACGGGAGGCAGCAGGGGGGAAUAUUGCACAAUGGGCGGAAGCCUGAUGCAGCGACGCCGCGUGGGGGAUGACGGCCUUCGGGUGGUAAACUCCUUUCGACCGCGAGGAAGCCACCUGGUUGGAAGGGUGGUGACGGUAGUGGUAGAAGAAGCACCGGCUAACUACGUG